CCUACGGGAGGCAGCAGUGAGGAAUAUUGGUCAAUGGGCGCUAGCCUGAACCAGCCAAGUAGCGUGAAGGAUGACUGCCCUAUGGGUUGUAAACUUCUUUUAUAUGGGAAUAAAGUGCAGUAUGUAUACUGCUUUGCGUGUACCUUAUGAAUAAGCAUCGGCUAACUCCGUGCCAGCAGCCGCGGUAAUACGGAGGAUCCGAGCGUUAUCCGGAUUUAUUGGGUUUAAAGGGAGCGUAGGCGGGUUGUUAAGUCAGGUGUGAAAAUUUGCGGCUCAACCGUAAACUGGCAGUUGAUACUGGCAUACUUGAGUUCAGGAGAGGUAGGCGGAAUGCGUGGUGUAGCGGUGAAAUGCUUAGAUAUCACGAAGAACUCCGAUUGCGAAGGCAGCCUGCUGGACUGUAACUGACGCUGAUGCUCGAAAGUGUGGGUAUCAAACAGGAUUAGAUACCCGUGUAGUC
rnacentral:rRNA from 1 species